rnacentral:tRNA from 1 species
GUCAGGAUGGCCGAGCGGUCUAAGGCGCCAGACUCAAGUGUGAAAACUUGUUCUGUUUAAACAGAAUUCGUGGAAAGUGAGCGUUCUGGUCCUCUCUGAGGGCGUGGGUUCAAAUCCCACUUCUGACA